rnacentral:rRNA from 1 species
UACAGAGACUGCAAGCGUUAUUCGGAUUCACUGGGCGUAAAGGGUGCGCAGGCGGCCAAGUGUGUUAGGCGUGAAAGCCUGGGGCUUAACCCCAGAAUUGCACCUAAAACUACAUGGCUAGAGCAUUGGAGAGGGUAGCGGAAUUCACGGUGUAGCAGUGAAAUGCGUAGAUAUCGUGAGGAACACCAGAGGCGAAGGCGGCUACCUGGACAAUUGCUGACGCUCAGGCACGAAAGCGUGGGGAGCAAAAGGG